rnacentral:rRNA from 1 species
AAUGGUUCGUGAGAUUUAUCUCGUGAUCUUUCUUGUGUACUUCCUUGCUUGGCAAGUUAGCAUCAAUUUUGGUUAUCAUUAAAAAAUUGAGGUAAUGUAGCUUUUCUUCGGAGAAGUGUUAUAGACCUUGACAUAUGUGGUGACCGGGAUUGAGGAUUGCAUCGAAUACCUUUUAAGGCUAGUCACCUGGCAUCUGGCGGUUACCCUGCUUUCGAUAGCAUGCUAACGAUUGUGGGAUUAAACAGUCGAGAUGUUAGAGUGAACAUAAA